rnacentral:rRNA from 1 species
UUGCAUAUCAAUAAGCGGAGGAAAAGAAACCAACAGGGAUUGCCCCAGUAACGGCGAGUGAAGCGGCAACAGCUCAAAUUUGAAAUCUGGCCCCUAGGGUCCGAGUUGUAAUUUGUAGAGGAUGCUUUUGGUGAGGUGCCGCCCGAGUUCCCUGGAACGGGACGCCGCAGAGGGUGAGAGCCCCGUCUGGCUGGCCACCGAGCCUCUGUAAAGCUCCUUCGACGAGUCGAGUAGUUUGGGAAUGCUGCUCAAAAUGGGAGGUAUAUGUCUUCUAAAGCUAAAUAUUGGCCAGAGACCGAUAGCGCACAAGUAGAGUGAUCGAAAGAUGAAAAGCACCUUGAAAAGAGGGUUAAACAGUACGUGAAAUUGUUGAAAGGGAAGCGCUUGUGACCAGACUUGGGCGCGGCGGAUCAUCCGGGGUUCUCCCCGGUGCACUUCGCCGUGUUCAGGCCAGCAUCAGUUCGGCGCGGGGGAAAAAGGCUUCGGGAACGUGGCUCCUCCGGGAGUGUUAUAGCCCGUUGCAUAAUACCCUGCGCUGGACUGAGGA